rnacentral:rRNA from 1 species
GGGGGUCAUCCCGACUUACCAACCCGAUGCAAACUGCGAAUACCGGAGAAUGUUAUCACGGGAGACACACGGCGGGUGCUAACGUCCGUCGUGAAGAGGGAAACAACCCAGACCGCCAGCUAAGGUCCCAAAGUCAUGGUUAAGUGGGAAACGAUGUGGGAAGGCCCAGACAGCCAGGAUGUUGGCUUAGAAGCAGCCAUCAUUUAAAGAAAGCGUAAUAGCUCACUGGUCGAGUCGGCCUGCGCGGAAGAUGUAACGGGGCUAAACCAUGCACCGAAGCUGCGGCAGCGACACUAUGUGUUGUUGGGUAGGGGAGCGUUCUGUAAGCCUGUGAAGGUGUACUGUGAGGUAUGCUGGAGGUAUCAGAAGUGCGAAUGCUGACAUAAGUAACGAUAAAGCGGGUGAAAAGCCCGCUCGCCGGAAGACCAAGGGUUCCUGUCCAACGUUAAUCGGGGCAGGGUGAGUCGACCCCUAAGGCGAGGCCGAAAGGCGUAGUCGAUGGGAAACAGGUUAAUAUUCCUGUACUUGGUGUUACUGCGAAGGGGGGACGGAGAAGGCUAUGUUGGCCGGGCGACGGUUGUCCCGGUUUAAGCGUGUAGGCUGGUUUUCCAGGCAAAUCCGGAAAAUCAAGGCUGAGGCGUGAUGACGAGGCACUACGGUGCUGAAGCGACAAAUGCCCUGCUUCCAGGAAAAGCCUCUAAGCAUCAGGUAACAUCAAAUCGUACCCCAAACCGACACAGGUGGUCAGGUAGAGAAUACCAAGGCGCUUGAGAGAACUCGGGUGAAGGAACUAGGCAAAAUGGUGCCGUAACUUCGGGAGAAGGCACGCUGAUAUGUAGGUGAAGCGACUUGCUCGUGGAGCUGAAAUCAGUCGAAGAUACCAGCUGGCUGCAACUGUUUAUUAAAAACACAGCACUGUGCAAACACGAAAGUGGACGUAUACGGUGUGACGCCUGCCCGGUGCCGGAAGGUUAAUUGAUGGGGUUAGCGGUAACGCGAAGCUCUUGAUCGAAGCCCCGGUAAACGGCGGCCGUAACUAUAACGGUCCUAAGGUAGCGAAAUUCCUUGUCGGGUAAGUUCCGACCUGCACGAAUGGCGUAAUGAUGGCCAGGCUGUCUCCACCCGAGACUCAGUGAAAUUGAACUCGCUGUGAAGAUGCAGUGUACCCGCGGCAAGACGGAAAGACCCCGUGAACCUUUACUAUAGCUUGACACUGAACAUUGAGCCUUGAUGUGUAGGAUAGGUGGGAGGCUUUGAAGUGUGGACGCCAGUCUGCAUGGAGCCGACCUUGAAAUACCACCCUUUAAUGUUUGAUGUUCUAACGUGGGCCCCUUACCGGGGUUGCGGACAGUGUCUGGUGGGUAGUUUGACUGGGGCGGUCUCCUCCUAAAGAGUAACGGAGGAGCACGAAGGUUGGCUAAUCCUGGUCGGACAUCAGGAGGUUAGUGCAAUGGCAUAAGCCAGCUUGACUGCGAGCGUGACGGCGCGAGCAGGUGCGAAAGCAGGUCAUAGUGAUCCGGUGGUUCUGAAUGGAAGGGCCAUCGCUCAACGGAUAAAAGGUACUCCGGGGAUAACAGGCUGAUACCGCCCAAGAGUUCAUAUCGACGGCGGUGUUUGGCACCUCGAUGUCGGCUCAUCACAUCCUGGGGCUGAAGUAGGUCCCAAGGGUAUGGCUGUUCGCCAUUUAAAGUGGUACGCGAGCUGGGUUUAGAACGUCGUGAGACAGUUCGGUCCCUAUCUGCCGUGGGCGCUGGAGAACUGAGGGGGGCUGCUCCUAGUACGAGAGGACCGGAGUGGACGCAUCACUGGUGUUCGGGUUGUCAUGCCAAUGGCACUGCCCGGUAGCUAAAUGCGGAAGAGAUAAGUGCUGAAAGCAUCUAAGCACGAAACUUGCCCCGAGAUGAGUUCUCCCUGACUCCUUGAGAGUCCUGAAGGAACGUUGAAGACGACGACGUUGAUAGGCCGGGUGUGUAAGCGCAGCGAUGCGUUGAGCUAACCGGUACUAAUGAACCGUGAGGCUUAACCUUACAACGCCGAAG